CUGAAAUGAAACCUUUCUGUCGCUGAGAUAGCUGC
rnacentral:sRNA from 1 species